rnacentral:rRNA from 1 species
UACGGAGGUGGCAAGCGUUGUUCGGAAUUACUGGGCGUAAAGGGCGCGUAGGCGGUCAGCACAAGUCAGUUGUGAAAUCUCCGAGCUUAACUCGGAAAGGUCAACUGAUACUGUGCGACUAGAGUGCAGAAGGGGCAACUGGAAUUCCUGGUGUAGCGGUGAAAUGCGCAGAUAUUGGGAGGAACACCAGCGGCGAAGGCGGCACUGUGGGCUGGUACUGACGCUGAGGA